rnacentral:rRNA from 1 species
GACGGAGGAGGCUAGCGUUGUUCGGAAUUACUGGGCGUAAAGCGCGCGCAGGCGGUCAUGCAAGUCAGGGGUGAAAGCCCGGGGCUCAACCUCGGAACUGCCUUUGAGACUGCGUGACUCGAGACCGGGAGAGGAGAGUGGAAUUCCCAGUGUAGAGGUGAAAUUCGUGGAUAUUGGGAAGAACACCAGUGGCGUAGGCGGCUCUCUGGCCCGGUACUGACGCUGAGGCGCGAAAGCGUGGGGAGCAAACAGG